UACGUAGGUGGCAAGCGUUGUCCGGAUUUACUGGGCGUAAAGGGCGCGUAGGUGGAUAUUUAAGUGGGAUGUGAAAUCCCCGGGCUUAACCUGGGGGCUGCAUUCCAAACUGGAUGUCUAGAGUGCAGGAGAGGAGAGUGGAAUUCCUAGUGUAGCGGUGAAAUGCGUAGAGAUUAGGAAGAACACCAGUGGCGAAGGCGACUCUCUGGACUGUAACUGACACUGAGGCUCGAAAGCGUGGGGAGCAAACAGG
rnacentral:rRNA from 1 species